UACAGAGGGGGCAAGCGUUGUUCGGAAUUACUGGGCGUAAAGGGUUCGUAGGCGGCCAACUCAGUCAGACGUGAAAUCCCUCAGCUUAACUGGGGAACUGCGGCUGAUACUGGAUGGCUUGAGUGCAGGAGAGGAACGCGGAAUUCCAGGUGUAGCGGUGAAAUGCGUAGAUAUCUGGAGGAACACCGGUGGCGAAGGCGGCGUUCUGGACUGCAACUGACGCUGAGGAACGAAAGCCUGGGGAGCAAACGGG
rnacentral:rRNA from 1 species